rnacentral:rRNA from 1 species
AUUGAACGCUGGCGGCAUGCUUUACACAUGCAAGUCGGACGGCAGCACAGAGAAGCUUGCUUCUUGGGUGGCGAGUGGCGAACGGGUGAGUAACAUAUCGGAACGUACCGAGCAGUGGGGGAUAACUAAUCGAAAGAUUAGCUAAUACCGCAUAUAUUCUGAGGAAGAAAGCAGGGGACCAUUUGGCCUUGCGCUGUUUGAGCGGCCGAUAUCUGAUUAGCUAGUUGGUGGGGUAAAGGCCUACCAAGGCGACGAUCAGUAGCGGGUCUGAGAGGAUGAUCCGCCACACUGGGACUGAGACACGGCCCAGACUCCUACGGGAGGCAGCAGUGGGGAAUUUUGGACAAUGGGCGCAAGCCUGAUCCAGCCAUGCCGCGUGUCUGAAGAAGGCCUUCGGGUUGUAAAGGACUUUUGUCAGGGAAGAAAAGGGCGGGGUUAAUACCC